GAACCUUACCAGGUCUUGACAUCCCCCGCGAUGCUUUAGAGAUAAAGCGGAGGUAUUCGGGAGACAGGUGGUGCAUGGUUGUCGUCAGCUCGUGUCGUGAGAUGUUGGGUUAAGUCCCGCAACGAGCGCAACCCCUAUCUUUAGUUGCCAUCAGUUCGGCUGGGCACUCUAUGGAGACUGCCACCUAAAGUGGAGGAAGGUGGGGAUGACGUCAAGUCAGCAUGGCCCUUACGUCCGGGGCUACACACGUGCUACAAUGGCCGGUACAAAGGGUUGCGAAGCCGUGAGGUGGAGCGAAUCUCAAAAAGCCGGCCUCAGUUCGGAUUGGAGGCUGCAACUCGCCUCCAUGAAGUCGGAAUCGCUAGUAACCGCAGAUCAGCUACGUUGCGGUGAAUACGUUCCCGGGCCUU
rnacentral:rRNA from 1 species